CGUAGGGUGCAGGCGUUAAUCGGAAUUACUGGGCGUAAAGCGUGCGCAGGCGGUCUGUUAAGACAGGUGUGAAAUCCCCGGGCUUAACCUGGGAACUGCGCUUGUAACUGGCAGGCUGGAGUGUGGCAGAGGGGGGUGGAAUUCCACGUGUAGCAGUGAAAUGCGUAGAGAUGUGGAGGAACACCGAUGGCGAAGGCAGCCCCCUGGGCUAACACUGACGCUCAUGCACGAAAGCGUGGGGAGCAAACAGGAUUAGAUACCCUGGUAGUCCACGCCCUAAACUAAGUCAACUGGUUGUCGGGGAAGCAAUUCCUUGGUAACGAAGCUAACGCGUGAAGUUGACCGCCUGGGGAGUACGGCCGCAAGGUUA
rnacentral:rRNA from 1 species